rnacentral:rRNA from 1 species
GACGAGGGACCCAAGCGUUGUUCGGAAUCAUUGGGCGUAAAGCGGGUGUAGGUGGCUUUGUAAGUCAGGUGUGAAAGCCUAGGGCUUAACCCUAGAAGUGCAUUUGAUACUGCGAAGCUUGAGUGCUGGAGAGGCUAUUAGAAUUCCAGGUGUAGUGGUGAAAUACGUAGAUAUCUGGAGGAAUACCGGAGGCGAAGGCGGGUAGCUGGCCAGACACUGACACUCAGACCCGAAAGCGUGGGGAUCAAACAGGAUUAGAUACCCUGGUAGUCCACGCCAUAAACGAUGGAUACUUGUUGUUGGAGGUAUUGACCCCUUCAGUGACGAAGCUAACGCGUUAAGUAUCCCGCCUGGGGAGUACGGUCGCAAGAUUA